AACGAACGCUGGCGGCAUGCCUAACACAUGCAAGUCGAACGAGACCUUCGGGUCUAGUGGCGCACGGGUGCGUAACGCGUGGGAACCUGCCCUUAGGUUCGGAAUAACUCCCCGAAAGGGGUGCUAAUACCGGAUAAUUUCUUCGGACCAAAGAUUUAUCGCCUUUGGAUGGGCCCGCGUUGGAUUAGCUUGUUGGUAGGGUAAAAGCCUACCAAGGCGACGAUACAUAGCUGGUCUGAGAGGAUGAGCAGCCACACUGGGACUGAGACACGGCCCAGACUCCUACGGGAGGCAGCAGUGGGGAAUAUUGGACAAUGGGCGAAAGCCUGAUCCAGCAAUGCCGCGUGAGUGAUGAAGGCCUUAGGGUUGUAAAGCUCUUUUACCCGGGAUGAUAAUGACAGUACCGGGAGAAUAAGCUCCGGCUAACUCCGUG
rnacentral:rRNA from 1 species